CAGCUGGUUCAGGUACUGCUGGUUGCUGCUCUCUGGAGCCUCGUGUGCUGCAGCUGUCGGGGUGAAGUAUAUGGGUGUGUUCUCCUACCUGCUAUUGCUGGGCGUGGCUUCUCUGCACCUCUGGAACCUGAUUGGAGAUCGCACCGUCAGUCAUCUGAAUGUGUGUGUGCAGUGUGUGUGUCGUGCAGUGUGUCUGUUGGUGGUUCCAGUUCUUCUCUAUGUGUUCUGGUUCUACGUCCACCUGACUCUACUGCACCGCAGCGGACCACAUGACCAGCUGAUGAGCUCCGCCUUCCAGGCCAGUC